rnacentral:rRNA from 1 species
UACGUAGGGCGCAAGCGUUUAUCCGGAAUUAUUGGGCGUAAAGAGCUCGUAGGCGGUUUGUCGCGUCUGCCGUGAAAAUCCGGGGCUCAACCCCGGACUUGCAGUGGGUACGGGCAGACUAGAGUGUGGUAGGGGAGACUGGAAUUCCUGGUGUAGCGGUGGAAUGCGCAGAUAUCAGGAGGAACACCGAUGGCGAAGGCAGCACUCUGGCCGAAUACUGACGCUGAGGC